CCUACGGGUGGCAGCAGUGGGGAAUAUUGCACAAUGGGCGCAAGCCUGAUGCAGCCAUGCCGCGUGUGUGAAGAAGGCCUUCGGGUUGUAAAGCACUUUCAGCGGGGAGGAAGGCGGUGAGGUUAAUAACCUCAUCGAUUGACGUUACCCGCAGAAGAAGCACCGGCUAACUCCGUGCCAGCAGCCGCGGUAAUACGGAGGGUGCAAGCGUUAAUCGGAAUUACUGGGCGUAAAGCGCACGCAGGCGGUCUGUCAAGUCGGAUGUGAAAUCCCCGGGCUCAACCUGGGAAGUGCAUUCGAAACUGGCAGGCUAGAGUCUUGUAGAGGGGGGUAGAAUUCCAGGUGUAGCGGUGAAAUGCGUAGAGAUCUGGAGGAAUACCGGUGGCGAAGGCGGCCCCCUGGACAAAGACUGACGCUCAGGUGCGAAAGCGUGGGGAGCAAACAGGAUUAGAUACCCGGGUAGUC
rnacentral:rRNA from 1 species